rnacentral:SRP_RNA from 1 species
GUCUGGGUCUCGCGCAACGGAAAUCUAUGAAUCGUGUCAGGGCAGGAAUGCAGCAGCACUAAAUAGAACCUUUCGUGUGCCGUGAGGGUGCCUGGGCCGA